AGGACACGCUGGCGGCGUGGAUUAGGCAUGCAAGUCGAACGGUAUCAUCCUUCGGGGGUGAGAGAGUGGCGAACUGGUGAGUAACACGUAGGUUAUCUACCCUCAAGACGGGGACAACCCAGGGAAACUUGGGCUAAUACCGGAUGUGAGCAACUUUUAGUUGUUUGAAAGGUGGCGUAAGCUGUCGCUUGGGGAUGAGCCUGCGUCCUAUUAGUUAGUUGGUGAGGUAACGGCUCACCUAGGCAAUGAUAGGUAGGCGGCCUUAACGGGUGGUCGCCCACACUGGGAUUGAGAUACGGCCCAGACUCCUACGGGAGGCAGCAGUCGAGAAUAGUCUACAAUGGUCGGAAGACUGAUAGUGCGACGCCGCGUGAACGAUGAAUCCCUUCGGGGUGUAAAGUUCUUUUAUAUGUGAGCAGUGCUUCUUAUAUUAACAGUAUGGGGAGAGAGAUAUUAGCAUAUGAAUAAGCAACGGCUAACUCCGUG
rnacentral:rRNA from 1 species